rnacentral:rRNA from 1 species
AAAAUUGGCGGUAUUUAAAUUCAAUUAGGGGAACUUGUUUUUUAAUUGAUGAUCCUCAUGAUACCUUACUUUAGUUUUAAAUUUAUUUAUUGUCGUUAUUCAGAAUAUUUUUUAAGAAUUAUAAAUUUUCUUAAUUAUUUAAUUAAAAAUAGUUAUUUCAGAUCAUUAUGUAGUUUAUAUUAAAGUUAAAAUGAGUUACAAUAAAUUUUAUUUAUAAUGGAUAUUAUUAUGAAAAUUUUAAUUGAAAGUGGACUUAAUAGUAAAAUAAAAUAUUAAAUUUUUU